rnacentral:rRNA from 1 species
GAUGAACGCUGGCGGCGUGCCUAAUACAUGCAAGUCGAGCGAACAGAUAAGGAGCUUGCUCCUUUGACGUUAGCGGCGGACGGGUGAGUUACACGUGGAUAACCUACCUAUAAGACUGGGAUAACUUCGGGAAACCGGAGCUAAUACCGGAUAACAUAUUGAACCGCAUGGUUCAAUAGUGAAAGGCGGCUUUGCUGUCACUUAUAGAUGGAUCCGCGCCGUAUUAGCUAGUUGGUAAGGUAACGGCUUACCAAGGCAACGAUACGUAGCCGACCUGAGAGGGUGAUCGGCCACACUGGAACUGAGACACGGUCCAGACUCUUACGGGAGGCAGCAGUAGGGAAUCUUCCGCAAUGGGCGAAAGCCUGACGGAGCAACGCCGCGUGAGUGAUGAAGGUCUUCGGAUCGUAAAACUCUGUUAUCAGGGAAGAACAAAUGUGUAAGUAACUGUGCACAUCUUGACGGUACCUGAUCAGAAAGCCACGGCUAACUACGUG